rnacentral:rRNA from 1 species
GAUGAACGCUGGCGGCGUGCCUAAUACAUGCAAGUCGAGCGAACGGACGAGAAGCUUGCUUUUCUGAUGUUAGCGGCGGACGGGCGAGUAACACGUGGAUAACCUACCUAUAAGACUGUGAUAACUUCGGGAAACCGGAGCUAAUACCGGAUAAUAUUUUGAACCGCAUGGUUCAAAAGUGAAAGACGGUCUUGCUGUCACUUAUAGAUGGAUCCGCGCUGCAUUAGCUAGUUGGUAAGGUAACGGCUUACCAAGGCAACGAUGCAUAGCCGACCUGAGAGGGUGAUCGACUACACUGGAACUGAGACACGGUCCAGACUCCGACGCGAGGCAGCAGUAGGGAAUCCUACGCGAUGGACGAAAGCCUGACGGAGCAACGCCGCGUGAGUGCUGAAGGUCUUAUGAUCGUAGAACUCUGUUAUUAGGGAAGUACAUAUGUGUAAGUACCUGUGCACAUCUUGACGGUACCUAAUCAGAAAGCCACGGCUAACUACGUG